rnacentral:rRNA from 1 species
AUUAACGCUAGCGGCAGGCAUAAUACAUGCAAGUUGAACGGCAGCACAGGUAGCAAUACUGGGUGGCGAGUGGCGCACGGGUGCGUAACACGUAUGCAACCUACCCUAUACAGGCGAAUAACCUUUAGAAAUGAGGGCUAAUACGCCGUAGUAUUACAGAUGGGCAUCUAUUUGUAAUUAAAGAUUUAUCGAUAUAGGAUGGGCAUGCGUCCCAUUAGUUAGUUGGUAAGGUAACGGCUUACCAAGACGAUGAUGGGUAGGGG